rnacentral:lncRNA from 10 species
GCGGGACACAGGUCCGCCCCGCCUCUCCUCUCCCGGGAGAGGCCGGGACGCGCCCACUCGGCAUAGCCUUAAAGGGCUCGCUCUUCCGGAGCGCACCCUGAGAGAGACGUCGGACAAGCCUGGGAAUGAUCACCCUUCUCCCGAAACGCAGAGACUCUAACGGGAACUCCUGACCCCGCUUACUCACCUACAACCAGAUAUUCCCCCUGCUUUCUGCGCCCAGGUUUCUCCUCCGGCUGUGGAGGGCGGGGGUCCCCUAGGCCCUUGGGACUUGGGCGUGGCUUACCAUCGCAGCCGUGGUGUGAACUGUAUCGUGCCCAGGCUCCAAUGCGCCCUGUGCUUUGAACUGGGGGCUUCCUAGGGCUUGAGGCUGCUUGAGGCUGUGCUCGUACCCCAGGGAACCGGCAGCGUUGGAACUCCGCGGCGCUGUUGCGGCUCUUGCCCCAUCCUCCAUCCCUGUGCCAAUCAGGGACUUCCUUCUAGGCCGCCUGCAUACAGUGCGAACAUAAGUAUACCCCCCUUCGCACAUUUAUUGAGCUCCUGUUGCGUGCAGAGCUUAUACAUCACACAUCUGUGACGGGCCCCUCAGUCAGGCGACGGCUCCGAGCCGCGAACACAGCCAAGAGCACCGGACCUCAGCCGAUCCUCCAAGUCCCAGCCCCUAUGACUCUCCCAACUCGGUUCCGUGACUAGAACCUGCAGCCCGGAGACUCGGAACUUUGGGCAGCCACGUGGGCGCGGGAUUCCGACAUGGGUCGCUCGUCCACAGCAACUCAACCCUAGAAGUCGCAUUUAGGGAGCCCAUGACUCUGAAGUUGACCCUGGCCUGACUAACCCUCUAACCCUCGCUCGAUCCAGGCUGAAACAUCUAGAUUUGCGGAGCGCGGGAAAGUGCCUGGAUUCCAGCGCAUCUGUAUGGCACCCGGGUCUGCGUCCACGCGGGCCUCCACGGCGCGCUUGGCCUGGCUCAGCCCCUGCAUCUACAAAAGACGCCGGUCCUUUGGAUCGCGAUGCAGUCAACAGCAGCUCCCCUAGCAGGGAACCCUGGUUCAGCAGGAACGUCCUCCAGAAUAGCUGUCCCCAGACCCAUGAGUUCCACCGACACAGAUCAGUGGAGGCUGAAGUGUUCUCCAGUCCUUGGAGAAAGGAGAAAAGUCACAACAACAGGAGACCCUUGAAAUGUGGCAUUUCCAGAAAACGUCUCAAAGGAGCCCCAGAUGGAUUUAGUAAAUUACAGCAAGGAGAGGUUGUGAGCGGCGUCUCUUCCUGCUCACCAGCCCGCCUGGCAUCCUGUUGGGGCUUGCCCAAAGCCGCCGGGAGGCUGGGCUGCUGGCUCUCGGCAGGAGCACUUCCCAUGGAGCAUCCUCUCAGGGCAAAACCCG